rnacentral:rRNA from 1 species
AUUGAACGCUGGCGGCAGGCUUAACACAUGCAAGUCGAGCGAGCGGCGGACGGGUGAGUAAUGUCUGGGACACUGCCUGAUGGAGGGGGAUAACUACUGGAAACGGUAGCUAAUACCGCAUACCAUCAGAUGUUCCCAGAUGGGAUUAGCUAGUAGGUGGGGUAAUGGCUCACCUAGGCGAUGAUCCCUAGCUGGUCUGAGAGGAUGACCAGGCACACUGGAACUGAGACACGGUCCAGACUCCUACGGGAGGAAGCAGUGGGGAAGAUUGCAAAAUGGGCGCAAGCCUGAUGCAGCCAUGCCGCGUGUGUGAAGAAGGCCUUCGGGUUGUAAAGCACUUUAAGCGAGGAGGCGUUACUCGCAGAAGAAGCACCGGCUAACUCCGUGCCAGCAGCCGCGGGAAUUC